rnacentral:rRNA from 1 species
AACGAACGCUGGCGGCAUGCUUAACACAUGCAAGUCGAACGAGAAAGGGGGGCAACCCCCGAGUAAAGUGGCGCACGGGUGAGUAACACGUGGGUAAUCUGCCUCUGGGUGGGGAAUAACUCUGGGAAACCGGAGCUAAUACCGCAUAAGCCUGCAAGGGGAAAGGCGAAAGUCGCCGAGAGAGGAGCCCGCGGUCGAUUAGCUAGUUGGUGGGGUAAAGGCUCACCAAGGCAGUGAUCGAUAGCCGGCCUGAGAGGGCACACGGCCACACUGGCACUGAAACACGGGCCAGACUCCUACGGGAGGCAGCAGUGGGGAAUCUUGCACAAUGGGGGAAACCCUGAUGCAGCGACGCCGCGUGAGCGAUGAAGCCCUUCGGGGUGUAAAGCUCUUUCGGCAGGGACGAUAAUGACGGUACCUGAAGAAGAAGCUGCGGCUAACUACGUGCCAGCAGCCGCGGUAAUACGUAGGCAGCGAGCGUUGUUCGGAGUUACUGGGCGUAAGGAGUGCGUAGGCUGUGGUCCAAGUCUGGUGUGAAAAUCUCCCGGCUCAACCGGGAGGGUGCGCCGGAAAACUGGGCUGCUGGAGUGCCGGAGAGGCAGGCGGAAUUCCCGGUGUAGCGGUGAAAUGCGUAGAUAUC